rnacentral:tRNA from 1 species
GGGGUAUAGCUCAGUGGUAAAGCAUUUGCCUUGCAUGCACAAGGCCAUGGGUUCAAUUACCACUACCACCA